rnacentral:rRNA from 1 species
UACGGGGGGGGCAAGCGUUGUUCGGAAUUACUGGGCGUAAAGGGCGCGUAGGCGGUUCGCUAAGUUGGAUGUGAAAACUCUGGGCUCAACCCAGAGCCUGCAUCCAAAACUGGCGGGCUAGAGUUCUGGAGGGGGUAGCGGAAUUCCUGGUGUAGCGGUGAAAUGCGUAGAUAUCAGGAGGAACACCAGUGGCGAAGGCGGCUUCCUGGCCUGUUCUUGACGCUGAGGCGCGAAAGCUAGGGGAGCAAACGGG